rnacentral:lncRNA from 1 species
CUCUCUUGCUUUCAGUUUUUGAAAUAGACUGUAUAUCUUUAUAUCUUAUCAGGCAUAAUUUGGUGAAAAAAUAUCUUUCCACGGAAGUUCUGCUUCUGUGAUUGGUUUGUUGAUAGGACAGCACUAUGAAUUGGGGAGUUGCCUCAACAAGUGAUUUUUCGUCAAUCUCCUUGUCCUUGAUAUCUGAAUCAAUUCACAGUGUCUUCUACCUGUGGAAGGUAGUUACAUGUUUCUUCAAAAACCAUCUGCUAAGCUCAUGCUUAUAUUUCUAUCCUUUUUAAUCUUACUUGGGUUGCUUUUACCAUUAGUCAAACCUUCUGUUUAAGCUCUAGCUUCAAUUUGAAAAUUGCUAAAACAAUUUUGCUAAUUUGAUAUUGAAAGUCUUGAUAGGCAUUUAUGUGGUUCAAGAUAAGUAUGAUAAACAUAUUUUCGGCUCCAGAACUCAUGAUUUCUGUGUUGAUUGUAAACAAGUAUAUAUAAUUUUACAGAUAUCUCCACCCUCAAGCACUGUGAGUGAUAUAACAGCUUAAAAGAUAAUACUGAAAAAUGACUGAUAUAAUCACCAGUUAGUCUAUAUAUAUAUAUAUAUAUAUAUGGAUGAAAAAGAGUAUAUAUGUGUGCAUUUAUGUUGAUGUUGUGUACGAUAUACUCAACAGACAAUAAGAACAAAGAUGGCAGAGUAUAUAAUUGACUCCCAAACCUGUAUCUUUUAGAAAACACACUCGUGAAUUAUACAUAAGAUUUAUAUUUUUAUGAUAAGGUUUUAUAAUGAGAGAUGAUUAAGAUCUGUUAUUGUAAGAAUAAUAUUAGAAUAUCUUCUGAAAUUAACAUUGAAAAGAAAUUGGUAUGGCUAAAUUGAUGAUAUUAAACAGAGGCACCUGCUCUGCAUGGUUGACCCCGUGUUGCAAGUUUUUGCUCAUGAUUUUGCCAGAUAUUGCACUAGAAAUUGUCCUCAGUGAGAGUCUGAUACUCCUUUCAUUUGAU